rnacentral:lncRNA from 1 species
AUAUAAGGAGAUCAAUAUGGACCAAUUUUGAUCUUAAACCGAACCUAAACCCAUAUCGAAACAUAUCGCUUUGGUUUCUUAGUUUUCACAUUCUUUUCCUGUUUUAAACCGAAUCCAAACCCAAAUCUUAACCUUGAACUUGCUCACAACCACUUGAGAAAUCAUUAUAUAAGAUGAGGGGUACAUGUUUGUUGUAUUAGCCGAUGCAGGACUCCUAAAAGCUAAGAGGAAAAGGAAACGUGUAACUUGUUGUAUAGAUGAGGAAUAUGGCAGAGCUUUCAUUUGGGCACCAAUGUAGGAUGGUUACGUCAAGAAUAAGACUCAAACUAUAGACAUUACUCAUAAAGACUUAACGUUUUAAUCAGAGACAACUUAUGAUGAAAUUAGAUAAAUUUAAUAGAUACAUAAAAUAUAUUUUUUAAAACUUUAUUCAAAUUGGUUCGGUUUAGUUUUAGUGGGCCGGUUUCUAAUACACAAACCAAACCCAAACUGAAUUUUUCGGAUUCAAAAAAUCAGAACCCAAAAGUGGUGGUUUGUGUUUGAUUUCGAUUUUUCGUUUUUGGUUUUGCUCGACCCUAAUGUAAGUUGAAAUAAAUAGAUAAUAAACAUUGUUAUCAAAGAAUUUAGCUUCAUUAUGUGUUUAGAACAUGAGUUAUUGAUCGUUGUGGAACUAAUCAAGAAACGCUAAUACGUAAUAAUAUGUAGUUCAUGUUAGAUUUAUGAACAUUACAAUUAAUUAAAAAUGAUGUAAUACAAGUGUGGGUUGAUUGGUAGUCUUUGUAGAGUAGAAUGCUUAAAUUGGACUCAACAUCCAAAGUUUGAUUUUAUUUCAUGUAUGUUGGUAGUUACUCGGUUUAACACUAUACUUUUUAAACACCAUUUUAUAUUGAUAAAAAUGUGUUUCUACAAAAGUUUUUCAACAAUUAUCAGAGUUUAUAACUUUUCAAUGUUACAAUCAAUAUCAACAAAUAUAGUGUAAGUUGAAAGGAUUACUAAACCUUCUUUGUUUCCUUUAGUCAUUUUCACUAUCUUCGCUCUUCUCUUCCGCUUCCACACCUAAGUACAUAGCACAAACUAUGUAAGUCUGAAGACUCAUGAGUUACAUGAGUUUUUAACUCAACUUUGAUUUAUUAUUAAGGAAUUUUACUUUGUUUUGUAGAGACUUUAUCACAUAAAGUCCUAACAAAAAUGAUCCUAGCACAUAGGGCCAUGGAAAAACAAAUCAAUCGGAGGCUAGUAGGAACCAUGUCCAUCCCGAUGUUGAAUCACUGUUGCCUGAUACCCUACUUCCUCAUUAAGCCCAUGUUGCUUCACGCAAGCCUGCCACCAUAAAUCUCAUCAAAUUCAUGCCGCUACAUGGAAACAUGCAACUGUGAAUCUCAUCAGACCCAUGUUGUUACGUGAAAUCCUGGAACUGUGAAUCUCAUCAGAUCUAUGCCGCUACAUGAAAGCCUGCAACUAUGAACCUCGCCCGAUCCAUGCCGCUACAUGAAAUUCUGACACUAUAAACUUGUAAGGCAAUCUAAUCCUUUCACGAACGCUCUCUAUAAAGCUUCAAACUUUCUUUAUAUAGUUUGUUCUUUUUAUCAUUCUCUACAAUAUAGAGGCAUAUGACGACAUCUAUUUCAUGUAGCUUUUCAUUAAGCUUUUAGCACAAAUUCACACUCAAAACAUUUAUCAUACAACUUUCCCCGCAAAGCUCAUAAUAAAUGUAUACACAUAUAAGCUUCUUGCCUAUAUAGCAAAUAACCAAACAUACAGGCAUCUUGCCAGUGACUCAUCUAGUCCUAUGCAUAGUGUAAGUCCAUCCUACGAGCCAUGUAGUGUCGCAAUAUUUGUUGACUUUUGUUAACUUUUCUUUAAUGAUAAUGUACAACCUAUCUCAACUUUCGAUGACCAUAACUUUCUUCUACGAACUUAGAUUUUAACGGUCUUUAUAUCCGUGAAACCGUCACGGGUCGAACUACGAAUUUCUUUUAAUAAGCAUUUGCUAAUAACUUAUACAUUUUUCAUUAGUCAUUUUCUUUAAAAGUAACAAUUUUUCAGUCGUUACACUCAGGCUAUAUAGAUUUAGGUCCCGUUUGAUAGUUGCUGACUGAGAAAUAGCUAACUCGGAAAUGUCUGUCUGGGUAAGAAAUUUCGACCGAGUAAGAAACUAUGUUGUUUGAUUGUACAUCUGACUGAAAAAAAUGACCAUUUAACCCUUCUUCUAUAUACAAUGAUGAAUGAAGUUGCUGAAAAAUUUAAAAAACAUACAAAUUGUCAUAUAAAAUGUAAAUUACACACAAAUCCUUUAAAAUUCCAAAUAAAAAUUAUAAAAGACAUCAUUGUUUUUAUAAAGUUAUAUGAUAUGUAUUUCAAAAUGAGAAAUGAAUUUUAAAGGAAUAGAAAUUUACAUGAUAUGUAGACGUACAAUUGGUUUUCAUUGCGCAAUCUAUCAAACACAUGCUAUACAUUAAGAUGAUUAAAUAUAAAAGAAAUCCAUGUGUAAUAAAUCAACUAAAUGUGAACCAGUCAUGCAUAUUGAAAUCAAGAAUAAAGAAAUAGUUCUUGAUUAAAAUUUAUGAGGAAUAAUCAAAGCGCAUAGGACCAAUUAUCACUUCGUCAUUUACCAUAUCCAAUACAAAGCACAUGAAUUGAUUUCAUUAUCACAUAAUCUAAUUCAGCACGUCAAUUUUGACUUUUUAUUUGACUUUUGGAUUUCAAGAUCAGAACUCCAAGGCUUAAAUCAGGCGAUUCAAUAGCAAAAUAAACAUUCAAGAGCAAACAAGCAGCACAAAUCAAAACUUUCUUAUUCAGAUUUUCAAAAAUCAAGAGCAUAAAUCGGAACAUUUAAUAGCAAAAAUCGGAGCAUUCCCAGAAAUCGGAGCAUUCAAGUGUACCUAUGAGAUGAGGAAGGAGCUUCGAUCGGUGGGUGGAAGAGGACAAAUGGGGUCGACGAUGCUUGCUGGUUGGGGAGAAGAAAGGAGUUGUUGAAAGAGGAUUCAUCAGGAAGCGCUAGAAGAGAUACAUUAGGGAAGGGUAUUAUUGGAACCUUUCUCAGUCAGCCCAAUUUUCACUUCUUUCCCAUUCAGAUAUUCCUUUGCGAGUCAGAUGCACAAAACUUGAUUAUCAAACACUUAUAGCCGACCGAGUCAGCCAAAAAGGUCUUACUCGACUCGGCCAAAAAGGUAUGACUCGACUCGUAUGAAGGCUUAAUGUGCAUGAUGUCUCAUGUGAAGAAAUUUGGUCCUAAAACAUAACUUAUUUAUUUGCAGCCUAUUGGUUUUAGGAUUUAACAUGUUUUAGGUUUUGUAUAGCCCUGAAAGUGUAUGUAAGACUCAAUGUUGAGCAAGGCAUGUAGAUGUUAUGAGUAAUAAGGGACAAUAUAUAGAUGAGAAAUUAAAUAUCCUCCUAAAAUUUCUUCCUACUUAUCUUCCUACCAAUGUUAAAUGAUGACGAAUAGAUUAAAACAUUAUUAAGAAAAACUAAAUGUGACACAUGUCAUCAUUUGACAUGGGUAGGAGGGUGAUGGGAAGAAAUUGUAGGAGGAUAUUUAAUUUCUCUAUAUAGAUUUACAAAUUUGAUCUGAGAUUAAUUUUUUUUUUGUUUGUUUAAAAUUAACUUUAUUUUAUAUUCUUUUUCUAAAUAGUUUAAGUUUCUCUUUGAAAAAAUAUAUACUUUUUUAGCUAUUAUGUACUUUUCACAACAUUUUUAUACUUGUAUUACAACUUUUUUACAAUAUUUUAUGAAGUUUUUAUAUCUUAAAAUAAAAAAUGAUAAACUUUAAAAAUGGUCCCUAUAGUUUCACAAAAUCUGAAGUUUGGUCCCCAAUUUUAAAAAACCUCACAGAUGGUCCUUGUGGUUUCAAAACUUCUAAUGUUUAAUCCUUACGGCUCACUCCGUUACCACUUAGCCGUUAACUUAUUUUUCAAUAUUAUACUGCAGGGGUAAUUUUGUUAUUUCACUUGUAACCUUCACUCUUUAAUAUGAAAUGAUUACGUAUUGUUUGCACAUCAACUCCAUAACUCGUCCCUCUCCCAAAAACAUACCCAGUUACAGUUGUAAUCAUCACACCAUUUCCAUCUUAGAAGCAAGAAUAGAAAUUGGGAUUUAGGGUAUAAACAGAAGAAAUCGCAAUGGCGCUGUCAAUAUGGUGUUUUCGAGGAAAAAUCGCAAUUGUGCAGGACUUGUGAAAAAGAUACGGUACGAUACUACAAAAAAAACUUGUUUUUUUUCGUUUAUUGUGGUCACAUAGAGAAAUCAUUAACUUUACCGUUUCUUUUUUUGUGUUUGCAGAAGGAUAUGACAACUAUUUCACGUUGUAGAUACACUACAGUGGUAUCUUCGCCAAAGCACCUGGAAGGAAAUACAUUGAUGGUAUUGUUUCAUAUGUACAUGAUAUUGACACUGACUUAUUUUCAGUUCAUGAGCUUGAUGACAUGGUUCGAGAACUAGUCUAUAAAACUGAGCAAACCCUUUACUACCAUUUAUGUAUCCCUGAAUACCCUUUAG